UAGCAGCACAUCAAUACUGGCACUGCCCCGCCCCGCUGGCCGCCAGUCUUCCUUGUGCUGCUCCA
rnacentral:pre_miRNA from 1 species